GUGCCCUUGGCAGCUCGAGCUCACCAAGAUGGUCCCCAUCCCUGCUGGAGUAUUUACAAUGGGCACUGAUGAUCCUCAGAUCAGGCAGGAUGGAGAAGUCCCUGCCAGGAGAGUCACUGUUGAUGGCUUUUACAUUGAUGCCCAUGAAGUCAGCAAUGCGAAUUCUGAGAAUUUUGUGAACUCCACUGGCUAUUUGACAGAGGCUGAGAAGUUUGGAGACUCUUUCGUUUUUGAAGACAUGUUGAGCGAACAAGUAAAAACGCAUAUCCACCAGGCAGUUGCAGCUGCUCCAUGGUGGUUGCCUGUCAAGAGAGCUAAUUGGAGACACCCAGAGGGUCCAGACUCCAGUAUUCUGCACAGGUCAAAUCAUCUGGUUCUCCAUGUUUCCUGGAACGACUCUGUUGCCUACUGCUGAACAUGGGUGGGGAAGAGGUUGCCUACUGAGGCAGAGUGGGAAUACAGCUGUAAAGGAGGCCUACAGAACAGGUUUUUCCUCCUGGGGCAACAAACUGCAGCCCAAAGGACAGCAUUAUGCCAACAUCUGGCAGGGCAAGUUUCCUGUCAGCAACACUGGCGAGGAUGGCUUCCAAGGAACUGCCCCCGUUGAUUCCUUUCCUCCCAAUGGCUAUGGCUUAUACAACAUAGUGGGGAACGCAUGGGAGUGGACCUCAGACUGGUGGCCCGUUCACCAUUCUGUUGAGGAAAAGCUCAGCCCAAAGGGUCCCACUUCUGGGAAAGACUGAGUGAAGAAGGGUGGAUCCUACCGAUGCCAUAAGUCCUAUUGCUAUAGGUACAGCUGUGCAGCUCGAAGCCAGAACACACCAGAUAGCUCUGCACCCAACCUGGGAUUCCGAUGUGCAGCCGACCACCUGCCCACUGCAGGCUGA